rnacentral:rRNA from 1 species
UACGUAGGGCGCAAGCGUUGUCCGGAAUUAUUGGGCGUAAAGAGCUCGUAGGCGGUCUGUCGCGUCCGUUGUGAAAACUCGAGGCUCAACCUCGGGCUUGCAGUGGAUACGGGCAGACUAGAGUGCGGUAGGGGAGAAUGGAAUUCCCGGUGUAGCGGUGAAAUGCGCAGAUAUCGGGAGGAACACCGGUGGCGAAGGCGGUUCUCUGGGCCUUACCUGACGCUGAGGAGCGAAAGCGUGGGGAGCGAACAGG